rnacentral:lncRNA from 1 species
GAUUUUUCGCUAUCGCGAGAACCUUUUGGCUCUCGUAUGUGCGCACGCGUCUGGAUCCGGAGCCAGGUGACCCGCUCAGACGUGGACGACGGGCGGGGGAGAAGGAGCCCGGGAGGAGGUGGCCGACGGAACAGGUGGAGCCGCGGCGAGGCUGGGCGGGGCGGAGAGUGAAACAACAUAGGCUCCGCCCCUCGCGGUGCUUCCCCCGGAAUAGCGUCAUCAGUUCUAUAAGAGAGCGUGUGCCGAAGGCCUCGGCCUUUCAUAUUCGGGAAGCGUCGGGAUUAGUUGAAGGAAGCUGAGCUGAACACAUGACGAUGGAUGAUGGAAACAGAAGACUAUCAAGAAAUCCAAACUGGUAAUGGGCGAAGUCUGUUCAGCAUCCGGCAAUGGAUUUAUCUUAGUUGGGGAAACGGGUGUUCCGAAUAAUGUUCUGGAAGUUAUCAGGAUACCUAUUUUCAAUAUAGGACUGAAUUUUUUAAAGUAAUACUUAAGAUGGUCCCUGAUAAUUAAAUAAAAUGCUUAAUUCAUGUGGCUACUCA